GUAUUAGGGGAUCGGGUGUCACGUUCUGACACGAUAGUAAUAGGGGAUCAGAGUGUCACGUUCCGACACGAUAAUGAUAAAGAGAAUGAAUCUUGAAUUAUGUUAAUAUGCUCAAAUUCAAAGAACCUAUUUCCCAAAUGAGUAUGGUGUGGAGGCUUGAGUCCUCAUAGGUGUGCUUGGUGUUGUUGUCACUUGCUCUUAUACUUGUUGAUUUUCACCUGUUGAGUAUUAUGGUUGAUUUUAUAUUAUUGUUCAGUAUAUAUUGCUUUCUAUUCUAAGUUGGCCGAUGAUACCUACUCGGUACGUGUUCCUUGUACUGACCCCUACUU
rnacentral:misc_RNA from 1 species